UACCUCACGUUCUCCCCGCCCCCUUCAGAUAGUUUGUUAAACGGGGCAACUUUCACCUCUGGUUCUUUUCAAGAGGUGGAGGUGGUUGUCUUUGAGCCUUCUUCCUCACCACCGCUGCGUAUGACCAAGCCUGGAGUGUUUAACUUAGCUCCGGAAAUGACCAACGCUAAACAUCUACUGCCGCUACCCGACCCAGCUGUUUGAAAUGUCCGCACAGCUGCUUGGGUGGUGGUUGAAUCAUUCAUCUGCUCCAGCAGCAAUGCUUGGAAAAGUCCAUCUCUAUUAUUUUUUAGUGGCUUACUAUCUGCAGAGAUGAAAAUGCGCCAAGAAAAAGAAAUGAUGCAAAAGUCAUAAGUGUUUUCCUCCGGCAGCCUACGGACCGGCAAACAGACAGAGAAGCAAACAGAAAGUCGUAAGUGUUUUCCUCCGGCAGCCUACGGACCGGCAAACAGAAAGGCGCGAGCACCCGGAGCCUAAGUGGAGUCAUACUUAAAGAAUGAGGUUGUCCAGAGCGAAGAAGAUUCACCAGUGUCAACUAGAGGUGACUGACUGUGUCCUCUGACGCCAGGCACUGAAUUUGGCUCCUUUUUUUGGCCAUACUGUGAUAUUUCAAGCAGGACAUAGUAAUUUGCAUACUUCAAAGCUUGGAUCUCUCAUCUGUGCCUCUUCUGAGCUGACUGCAGGGUACUCACGAGGUCUGAGGUCUCCUGGCUGUCUCCUCUGUGCUGUGACAUUGCUUAGGGCUUAAUUACAAGUGUGCUCUGCUGUCAGUGCUGCAGUGAGACCACAAGUGAGCUAGGGAAAGCAGUUGUUAAAUAGAAAAAUGCAAUAAAGAAGCCAUGAGUGUUUUUCCACUAAUCAAAUCAUAUGCCAACUUAUAUUUUAAGCACCAGCUUAUUAAAGAGGGUCCAAUUACACCUCCCUUUCAGGUAGUUCUUUAGCCACAAUUAUUUGUCGUUGGAAGAAUUACAUUCACAAAUAAUUACAUCUGCACCUGUUUAAUUGUAGGCUGAAAACAAAGUGCAAGCAGUUAAUUAUUUCUCAGAUGGCUGAUGCUACUUGUCAUUAGCUGGUUUGGCACAAAUUACACAGGCUGUUCUUUGCCUACAAAGGGCGGUGGCCCAGGUGACACAGUCUAGUAGGUGAGGACUUCCAACUCUGCCUGGGUGUCUUCUCUGAAGUCAGCAUUUAGCCUAUGCCUACCGCUUUCUCCACAUGUCUCAGGGUCUUUCUGUGACUUGCUUCAGUUGGUUCUGAUCUCUUUAGGAAUCAUCUUGUGGGCUUUUAGGAUGUAUGUUUUCCUUUCCCCAGUUUAAAUCCAAUUUUUCAAGUCCCUCUCCCAACUUUCCUUACAUGGAGUGAGACUGAAGAAAACAUUUUAUUUAUGGGAGAGGUGGACACAAGGCAGGAAUAGUUUCUUUCUCCAAGGGGCCGGUAUGCUUACAUUAGGAACAUAAGAGCGAAGUCCUUAAUAGAGAGACAAAUGGUCUAGGGGGAAGAGGAAGGGCCAAGAAAGCCUGUGUGUAACAGAGGUCAUGUCAGAGUUGGGUUUCUGUGAUGAGGCCCCCUUGAGCAGGACGAGAUUAGGAAAGGGAGUUAAAUAGCUCACAUCUAGCACAUAUAAACUCAUAGAUUCUCACAUGUACAGCCAACGGAGAUAAAAGGCAGAUGACGGAAUGAGAGAAAGCUGCAAAUUACAUCUCUAGUGAGAUGUUAAUACCCAGAAUAUAAAGAAUGCUUAAAAUUCAAUAAUAACAAUAGUAAAACAACCUGAUUAAAAGGGGGCAAAGGACUUAACUAAAUGUUUUUUUCUGAAGAAAAUAUGCAAAUGACCUAUAACGCAAGAAAAUAUGUAAAUGAAUGUAAAUGAAAAGGAUAAUGAAAUACCACCUGACAUGGCAGGGUGGCUGUUGAUGGGUGGUCCUGUCUGUGCCAGUGAGGAUGCGACUUUAUUAUUGGUAGAAAGCUAAAAUAGCAUACCUAGUAUGAAAAGUGUAGUGAUUCCUCAAAUACUUGGAAAUAAUGAUAUGCCCA